AUCCAGCUGACGAGUACAACAUAGGACGAAUCGCGCGUUCUGGAU
rfam:Schistosoma mansoni strain Puerto Rico chromosome 4, complete genome